CAACCUGCCCACCACUUGGGGAUAACCUUGCGAAAGUAAGACUAAUACCCAAUGACGUCUCUAGAAGACAUCUGAAGGAGAUUAAAGAUUUAUCGGUGAUGGAUGGGGAUGCGUCUGAUUAGCUUGUUGGCGGGGUAACGGCCCACCAAGGCGACGAUCAGUAGGGGUUCUGAGAGGAAGGUCCCCCACAUUGGAACUGAGACACGGUCCAAACUCCUACGGGAGGCAGCAGUGAGGAAUAUUGGUCAAUGGGCGAGAGCCUGAACCAGCCAAGUAGCGUGCAGGAUGACGGCCCUAUGGGUUGUAAACUGCUUUUAUAAGGGAAUAAAGUGAGUCUCGUGAGACUUUUUGCAUGUACCUUAUGAAUAAGGACCGGCUAAUUCCGUGCCAGCAGCCGCGGUAAUACGGAAGGUCCGGGCGUUAUCCGGAUUUAUUGGGUUUAAAGGGAGCGUAGGCCGGAGAUUAAGCGUGUUGUGAAAUGUAGACGCUCAACGUCUGCACUGCAGCGCGAACUGGUUUCCUUGAGUACGCACAAAGUGGGCGGGAUUCGUGGUGUAGCGGUGAAAUGCUUAGAUAUCACGAAGAACUCCGAUUG
rnacentral:rRNA from 1 species